GGAUGAACGCUGGCGGCGUGCCUAAUACAUGCAAGUCGAGCGAACAGAUGAGGAGCUUGCUCCUCUGACGUUAGCGGCGGCCGGGUGAGUAACACGUGGAUAACCUACCUAUAAGACUGGGAUAACUUCGGGAAACCGGAGCUAAUACCGGAUAAUAUAUUGAACCGCAUGGUUCAAUAGUGAAAGACGGUUUUGCUGUCACUUAUAGAUGGAUCCGCGCCGCAUUAGCUAGUUGGUAAGGUAACGGCUUACCAAGGCAACGAUGCGUAGCCGACCUGAGAGGGUGAUCGGCCACACUGGAACUGAGACACGGUCCAGACUCCUACGGGAGGCAGCAGUAGGGAAUCUUCCGCAAAGGGCGAAAGCCUGACGGAGCAACGCCGCGUGAGUGAUGAAGGUCUUCGGAUCGUAAAACUCUGUUAUUAGGGAAGAACAAAUGUGUAAGUAACUAUGCACGUCUUGACGGUACCUAAUCAGAAAGCCACGGCUAACUACGUG
rnacentral:rRNA from 1 species